rnacentral:hammerhead_ribozyme from 1 species
AUCCAGUUGACGAGUCCCAAAUAGGACGAAAUGCGCGUUGUCCUGGAU